rnacentral:rRNA from 1 species
GGUCAAGCAUGUAAGGGUGUAUGGGGGAUGUCUAGGCGUCAGAAGGCGAUGAAGGGCGUGGAAGGCUGCGAAAAGCCUGGGGGAGUUGUCAAACGAGCGUUGAUCCCAGGGUCCCUGAAUUACCGUACACUGAAUUCAUAGGUGUACGGGGCGAACCCGGAGAACUGAAACAUCUAAGUACCCGGAGGAAAGGAAAGCAACAGCGACUCCCUGAGUAGCGGCGAGCGAAACGGGAAUAGCCCGCUGAUCACGAAAGCCAGAAGAAUCCGAUGGAAUGCGGAAC